CAAGUCGAACGGACUUAACUCAUUCUUUUAGAUUGAGAGCGGUUAGUGGCGGACUGGUGAGUAACACGUAAGCAACCUGCCUAUCAGAGGGGAAUAACAGUGAGAAAUCAUUGCUAAUACCGCAUAAGCUAGUAGUAUCGCAUGAUAUAGCUAGAAAAGGAGCAAUCCGCUGAUAGAUGGGCUUGCGUCUGAUUAGCUAGUUGGUGGGGUAACGGCCUACCAAGGCGACGAUCAGUAGCCGGACUGAGAGGUUGAACGGCCACAUUGGGGCUGAGAUACGGCCCAGACUCCUACGGGAGGCAGCAGUCGGGAAUAUUGCGCAAUGGAGGAAACUCUGACGCAGUGACGCCGCGUAUAGGAAGAAGGUUUUCGGAUUGUAAACUAUUGUCGUGAGGGAAGAAAUUGACAGUACCUCAGGAGGAAGCUCCGGCUAACUAUGUGCCAGCAGCCGCGGUAAUACAUAGGGAGCAAGCGUUAUCCGGAUUUAUUGGGUGUAAAGGGUGCGUAGACGGGAAAUUAAGUUAGUUGUGAAAUCCCUCGGCUUAACUGAGGAACUGCAACUAAAACUGAUUUUCUUGAGUACUGGAGAGGAAAGUGGAAUUCCUAGUGUAGCGGUGAAAUGCGUAGAUAUUAGGAGGAACACCAGUGGCGAAGGCGACUUUCUGGACAGUAACUGACGUUGAGGCACGAAAGUGUGGGGAGCAAACAGGAUUAGAUACCCUGGUAGUCCACACUGUAAACGAUGGAUACUAGGUGUAGGAUGUAUUA
rnacentral:rRNA from 1 species